rnacentral:rRNA from 1 species
CAAGGGGGUCAUCCCGACUUACCAACCCGAUGCAAACUGCGAAUACCGGAGAAUGUUAUCACGGGAGACACACGGCGGGUGCUAACGUCCGUCGUGAAGAGGGAAACAACCCAGACCGCCAGCUAAGGUCCCAAAGUCAUGGUUAAGUGGGAAACGAUGUGGGAAGGCCCAGACAGCCAGGAUGUUGGCUUAGAAGCAGCCAUCAUUUAAAGAAAGCGUAAUAGCUCACUGGUCGAGUCGGCCUGCGCGGAAGAUGUAACGGGGCUAAACCAUGCACCGAAGCUGCGGCAGCGACGCUUAUGCGUUGUUGGGUAGGGGAGCGUUCUGUAAGCCUGUGAAGGUGUGCUGUGAGGCAUGCUGGAGGUAUCAGAAGUGCGAAUGCUGACAUAAGUAACGAUAAAGCGGGUGAAAAGCCCGCUCGCCGGAAGACCAAGGGUUCCUGUCCAACGUUAAUCGGGGCAGGGUGAGUCGACCCCUAAGGCGAGGCCGAAAGGCGUAGUCGAUGGGAAACAGGUUAAUAUUCCUGUACUUGGUGUUACUGCGAAGGGGGGACGGAGAAGGCUAUGUUGGCCGGGCGACGGUUGUCCCGGUUUAAGCGUGUAGGCUGGUUUUCCAGGCAAAUCCGGAAAAUCAAGGCUGAGGCGUGAUGACGAGGCACUACGGUGCUGAAGCAACAAAUGCCCUGCUUCCAGGAAAAGCCUCUAAGCAUCAGGUAACAUCAAAUCGUACCCCAAACCGACACAGGUGGUCAGGUAGAGAAUACCAAGGCGCUUGAGAGAACUCGGGUGAAGGAACUAGGCAAAAUGGUGCCGUAACUUCGGGAGAAGGCACGCUGAUAUGUAGGUGAAGCGACUUGCUCGUGGAGCUGAAAUCAGUCGAAGAUACCAGCUGGCUGCAACUGUUUAUUAAAAACACAGCACUGUGCAAACACGAAAGUGGACGUAUACGGUGUGACGCCUGCCCGGUGCCGGAAGGUUAAUUGAUGGGGUCAGCGCAAGCGAAGCUCUUGAUCGAAGCCCCGGUAAACGGCGGCCGUAACUAUAACGGUCCUAAGGUAGCGAAAUUCCUUGUCGGGUAAGUUCCGACCUGCACGAAUGGCGUAAUGAUGGCCAGGCUGUCUCCACCCGAGACUCAGUGAAAUUGAACUCGCUGUGAAGAUGCAGUGUACCCGCGGCAAGACGGAAAGACCCCGUGAACCUUUACUAUAGCUUGACACUGAACAUUGAGCCUUGAUG